rnacentral:rRNA from 1 species
GAUGAACGCUAGCUACAGGCUUAACACAUGCAAGUCGAGGGGCAGCAUCAUCAAAGCUUGCUUUGAUGGAUGGCGACCGGCGCACGGGUGAGUAACACGUAUCCAACCUGCCGACAACUCUGGGAUAGCCUUUCGAAAGAAAGAUUAAUACCGGAUGGCAUAGUUUUCCCGCAUGGGAUGACUAUUAAAGAAUUUCGGUCGCCGAUGGGGAUGCGUUCCAUUAGGCAGUUGGCGGGGUAACGGCCCACCAAACCAACGAUGGAUAGGGGUUCUGAGAGGAAGGUCCCCCACAUUGGAACUGAGACACGGUCCAAACUCCUACGGGAGGCAGCAGUGAGGAAUAUUGGUCAAUGGACGAGAGUCUGAACCAGCCAAGUAGCGUGAAGGAUGACUGCCCUAUGGGUUGUAAACUUCUUUUAUACGGGAAUAAAGUUAGCCACGUGUGGCUUUUUGUAUGUACCGUAUGAAUAAGGAUCGGCUAACUCCGUGCCAGCAGCCGCGGUAAUACGGAGGAUCCGAGCGUUAUCCGGAUUUAUUGGGUUUAAAGGGAGCGUAGGCGGGUUGUUAAGUCAGUUGUGAAAGUUUGCGGCUCAACCGUAAAAUUGCAGUUGAUACUGGCGACCUUGAGUGCAACAGAGGUAGGCGGAAUUCGUGGUGUAGCGGUGAAAUGCUUAGAUAUCACGAAGAACUCCGAUUGCGAAGGCAGCUUACUGGAUUGUAACUGACGCUGAUGCUCGAAAGUGUGGGUAUCAAACAGGAUUAGAUACCCUGGUAGUCCACACAGUAAACGA